rnacentral:rRNA from 1 species
CCUACGGGAGGCUGCAGUGGGGAAUAUUGGGCAAUGGGCGCAAGCCUGACCCAGCAACGCCGCGUGAAGGAAGAUGGCCUUCGGGUUGUAAACUUCUUUUCUCAGGGACGAAGAAAGUGACGGUACCUGAGGACUAAGCCACGGCUAACUACGUGCAAGCAGCCGCGGUAAUACGGAGGUGGCAAGCUUUAUCGGGUUUUACUGGGUGUAAGGGGUGUGUAGGCGGGGGGGCAAGUCAGAUGUGAAAGCCACGGGCUAAACGUGUGACCUGCCUUUGAGACUGUUUUUCUUGAGUGCUGGUGAGGCAGACGGAAUGCGUGGUGUAGCGGUGAAAUGCAUAGAUAUUA